AAGAUGCGAUUUUAGCCAGAAACGUGAGCAAAUAAUCAUCUUAACAAAGCUGAUAUUAACUAGAAAUCUCAAAAUACGACAAUUGGACACUUGCUGAGUUACGUGAGGAACUUAGACGCCGUAAAGCCAAGCUUCCGGGGAGAAAAGCCGAGUUAAUCGAGAGGCUUGAAGCAUAUGAAAGAAAUGAUGAUUUUGGAGGAAGGUCUGAAGUGCAACCAGAAUAUCAGAUGAAUAUACCUGACACAACCACAUACAAAGACUUACACAGUGGGAUGGAUUUUGGAAGCUUUCCAUUAAGCAGCGUCAACAGCUACCUCCAAUCGUAUGACCAAGCAAAGCCUACCGAGGAACACCAAUAAAAUCAACAGACCUGCAGCUUGUGAACGGUCAAAAUCAUAGAUUCAGUUUUGACCCAAGACCACCCAAGUACGCUAACGCUGGAAACUUUAGCUAUAAAGACUAUUUUCAGAAUACCUGCUUGAAUGCAACAGGUGUCUCAACUACGCCCAUUUUCCAGCUGUUUAAGCCUGCUAAUCCGUAUGCAGUGGCACAUGACCACGACUAUUGUUUUGAUACAAUGCAAAACGACUUCUUGUCAUCUAUUUCACUCCCCAACAUAACCCAGGAAAAGAGGACAGAAAUAGAGCAUACAACUCGAGGACAGACUGGAAAUGCUGCAUGGUUUGAGGAGCGUUGCAAGCGGCUUAC